rnacentral:rRNA from 1 species
UACGGGGGGGGCAAGCGUUGUUCGGAAUUACUGGGCGUAAAGGGCUCGUAGGUGGCCAAUUAAGUCAGACGUGAAAUCCCCAGGCUCAACUUGGGAACUGCGUCUGAUACUGGAUGGCUUGAAUUCGGGAGAGGGAUGCAGAAUUCCAGGUGUAGCGGAGAAAUGCGUAGAUAUCUGGAGGAAUACCGGUGGCGAAGGCGGCAUCCUGGACCGAGAUUGACACUGAUGAGCGAAAGCUAGGGGAGCAAACGGG